GAAGUGAAGGCCGAGACUUCGGCCCGGAAUGGACAAUGUUUGGGUUUGGAUCCGUCCGGUAGGAGGUCGCUCGGGGUUGGUGGCCCGCCUUGUUCUUGCUGGCGCCUCCCUUACCCCAGGGACGGUGUCCGCCCGUUUAUAUGCACCCCCUGAACGCGAGGGUCGGAGAUUCGCCCACGCCCCGUGUCGGCCACGCAUUCCCGUGGGGCGGCCGCGGGGUCGGCCCAAGCUGAGAGUCAUGGCCGCUGUCCCCGAGGCGUUUAAGCGCUCUCUACAAAGUCUGUAGGGGAAGCUGCUCCCGUCGGGGUGGCAGUCACAAUCUCAGCAGGCAACGUUGAGGCCCACGGAAGGAAGGGGCGAGGUGUCCAUGCUCCUGCCAGGGACUGGAGCACCGUGAGCAGCCUCCCGAGUCUCGCACUCUCACUUGCAAAACCCUGCACUGACUGCUUGGUUCUUGGGGGAGCCGGUAAUCGCGGGGCGACUUCCCAAAAUUCUUUAAGGGGUGUGCUUAGUUACCAUGUGUAAUGAGAGAGCAAGGUUCAGCCUCAGAGAGCUCCAGGGAGAGCUAAUCUUUUUCAUUCGUUUGUGGUAUAUGGAACUGGGGAGAGGCUGGAACAGCAAUUAGAAACCAGUCGUACAGCUGUCGAAGCCAAUGAACGAGCACUUCUUUUAGCAGCUGUACCUUUGUCCAGUGUCAAUGCCUUUUCACACGUAAACAUUUCACUUGCUCGGCAUCUUACCCAGACCCCUAAUAAGUGCUUUUUAAUGAACGAUUGGUUUUAAUAAACCGUGGUGAGCCAGACAUAUAAUGUUGAACAGAAGUCCUCUCACACCCAUAACCACUAGAGGGCAGGGCUUCACCUACUGAGUUGGUGAUCAUCCUACAGAGAACUCAAAAGAAAAUUUCCGUAUAUGCUAGAUGUGUUUUUCUCCAUCAACACUUAGACACUUUACAAAUUUGCUUUUUAUCUCAGGUCCUGUAACAUAUCGCAGUGUGCUCUCUAACCACACGUUCAACAUCAGAAUUAACGGACGGGGUUGCCUGUGUUUCUAUAUUUGUUCCCAAAACCUUCAGAGAUGCCUCUUUAUUGUGGGCAGAAGCCAGCAGCCUGCUAAACACCCACAGCAUGACUGGUGAUCCAAUCUUUUCCCAACAGACGAACACAAAGCAGACUUCAUUUCCACAGUUGUUUCAGGAUCACUUUUUCUGGGGCUGAGGAUGCAAGGAUAGCAGAGCUCACGUGGACAUCUCACAGGACUGCAAGUGCACUGGUGGAGUAAGCAGCCCAGGAGAGGGAGGAAAUGAACAGAGA